AACUGGGUCUCUCAGUUCUUUGGGAGCACCCUGGGAAACAGUGUGGCUAUGACUUGGAGCUGCUCACCAGUUCCAGUCAUUCUGUGGUUGAGAGCUGCUCCCUAUGGAUGUUAAUUCUUCUCCAUUUUAGAUUUUCCACAGGUGUGGGCCCCAUUAGCUCUGGCCACCUGAGAAAGCCCUCAGGCAAAGAGUCGCAGGUGAAAGCCAGCAGUUAGAGGUUCACAGAAAUGAGUACAGAAGCAUCUUCAGUUGGAGAGCCACUGCCUCUUGCUGUGAAAUAUUUGGGAAUCUUCAGAAACCAUGAAGAAUAACCUGCUAAAGGCCACCAAGUUCUAUUGAACAUCACGAAUCCUAUGCUCAAGUGAGAUCAGCUCAAGUGAGACCAGCUCAAGUGAGACCAGAUAUCUGAAGACCUUUUCAUUUUCGCCACCCUCAAAUGAAGGCAUGCAAGGUAGGAGAUAAAAACUAUCAUGUGGAAGAUGCCCUCCCUGUGCCAAGAGAAAAGAAACAUUCUUCCAUGAAGACUCAUAGCCGAGAUAAUUCCGUAUAAACAAACCUUGUUAAAAGAAUUAUCUCCCUUUGGCCUCCCCACAAAAUUUAGAUACUUUUCCACAAUUGCAUCUUUACAAAAUCAU
rnacentral:lncRNA from 1 species